rnacentral:rRNA from 1 species
GACGAACGCUGGCGGCGUGGAUUAGGCAUGCAAGUCGAACGGUAUCAUCCUUUCGGGGGUGAGAGAGUGGCGAACUGGUGAGUAACACGUAGGUUAUCUACCCUCAAGACGGGGACAACCCAGGGAAACUUGGGCUAAUACCGGAUGUGAGCAACUUUUAGUUGUUUGAAAGGUGGCGUAAGCUGUCGCUUGGGGAUGAGCCUGCGUCCUAUUAGUUAGUUGGUGAGGUAACGGUUCACCUAGGCAAUGAUAGGUAGGCGGCCUUAACGGGUGGUCGCCCACACUGGGAUUGAGAUACGGCCCAGACUCCUACGGGAGGCAGCAGUCGAGAAUAGUCUACAAUGGUCGGAAGACUGAUAGUGCGACGCCGCGUGAACGAUGAAUCCCUUCGGGGUGUAAAGUUCUUUUAUAUGUGAGCAGUGCUUCUUAUAUUAACAGUAUGGGGAGAGAGAUAUUAGCAUAUGAAUAAGCAACGGCUAACUCCGUGCCAGCAGCCGCGGUAAUCUCGU